CAAUAUAGAAAGAAAAAAGAGUGGAGAAUAGAUUACAAGUGUUGAUUUGUUUUAUGGUUGCUGUUUUUGAAAAAAACAAAAAAGAGACAAAUUCCACAUUUUUUUACAAUUAAAAAAGGAAAGCCAUUAGAAUGUUGGAAGUUGUUUAGCUUACAAAAAAGACAAGGAAGGGAAGGCAUUAUAGAGCAAAAAGGAACUUUACCAGAAAUUCAAAACUCUGCAACAGCAUACUUUAUGCCUCAAGGAUGCACAUCUUAAUUUAACAAGAAGGUUUGAAGUAUUUCAGAAGAAGCUGUGAGCAAUAUUAUCAGUAGACUGGAUGCUGCCAAGAGCUGUGUUACCAAUGAAGCAACUGGAUUAAAGUUGAAAUAAUGUUUGGCUGAUAUGUGCAGAGACAAACAGUGCUGAAUGACUCAUACACUUGGAACAUGAAACAUUCAAGUAUAACUUAAGGAAAGGAAACAUACUUGUUAGACAAGCUCCCGUGUGUGCAAAUAAUAAAACAAUGGGAUUAUAAUUGGAUAUAAAUCUACAUGUUUGAAUCAGCCAGGAACAAA